rnacentral:rRNA from 1 species
UGUUGGCUUAGAAGCAGCCAUCAUUUAAAGAAAGCGUAAUAGCUCACUGGUCGAGUCGGCCUGCGCGGAAGAUGUAACGGGGCUAAACCAUGCACCGAAGCUGCGGCAGCGAACGUAUCACUUAAAGCGAUUCAGCGGAUGACGAUUGACGGAGCGAAGCGACGUCAAAGCGUAUACAAAGUCGAGUCGGUUUAAGGAUACGUUCGUUGGGUAGGGGAGCGUUCUGUAAGCCUGUGAAGGUGUGUCGUGAGGCAUGCUGGAGGUAUCAGAAGUGCGAAUGCUGACAUAAGUAACGAUAAAGCGGGUGAAAAGCCCGCUCGCCGGAA